ensembl:snRNA U6 U6 spliceosomal RNA
GCUUUCUUUGGCAGCACAUAUACAAAAUUGGAAUUAUAUAGAGAAGAUUAACAUGAUUCUUGCCCAGGGGUGGCAUACAAAUUUGUGGUUCACUUUAUAUUUUU